UGAUAUUUGAUCUAUUUUUCUGUGCUUUUUUAAUUUAAGAAGUAUUAUGAAGUGUUUGAAAUACGUUAAAAGAUGUAGACCCUUAGGUAGUUAUAACUAAUUAGAAAUCUUAACCCUUUAAAAGACUACAACUAGAAUCCGAUGUAAAUUGUUAUUAAUAUUUUUUUAUUUUCUUUAUUUCUUUUAUUUUUUUUAGUUUCUUUAUUUUUUGUUACAAACAAAAUUGGUAAGUAACUCUAAGGUAAGUACCGAAGAGAGCAUUUGCGUGGAGCUUA
rnacentral:misc_RNA from 1 species